rnacentral:rRNA from 1 species
GACGAACGCUGGCGGCGUGCCUAAUACAUGCAAGUAGAACGCUGAAGGAGGAGCUUGCUUCUCUGGAUGAGUUGCGAACGGGUGAGUAACGCGUAGGUAACCUGCCUGGUAGCGGGGGAUAACUAUUGGAAACGAUAGCUAAUACCGCAUAACAGUAGAUGUUGCAUGACAUUUGCUUAAAAGGUGCAAUUGCAUCACUACCAGAUGGACCUGCGAUGUAUUAGCUAGUUGGUGGGGUAACGGCUCACCAAGGCGACGAUACAUAGCCGACCUGAGAGGGUGAUCGGCCACACUGGGACUGAGACACGGCCCAGACUCCUACGGGAGGCAGCAGUAGGGAAUCUUCGGCAAUGGACGGAAGUCUGACCGAGCAACGCCGCGUGAGUGAAGAAGGUUUUCGGAUCGUAAAGCUCUGUUGUAAGAGAAGAACAGGUGUGAGAGUGGAAAGUUC